CUCAGGACAGCCUUAUACAUGUGCAGGUGAAGCUGGAUCACGUCAACAGACUACACCUAAAGCAGUCUGGAUGUGUGUUGGGAGGAUCACUUCACCUGAGCUAUGUAUAUCUAUCUCAUAGGAUUUCAGGGUUAUACAAUAUACCAUGUGACUGCUGAGUAAAACAGAAGACUCAGACAGGAACACAGCUCUCAUUCAUAACAUGCCUCCUCUCCAGACUAACAAAGCGCAAUCCUGGUGAGCUACUGAACUUAAAGCUGCAGAACUGGAAUGAGGGCUUGUUACCCAGAACUCUCUUGAAGGAAAAGAGCUGAAGCAAUGCAUAUGGCUUCACAGCUGGAGACCACACUCCUCAGCCUCCUUACAACCAACCUGUCUUGUUUGAAUCCAUUCUCUUCAAGGGAAUGAGAACAAAAUUUACGUGUGCAGCUUCCAGCCCAUCAUCCAGUUCCCUGUCUUCUGCUAGCAGUACCCUGAUUUUGCUCUGUGGAAUCAUCCUCUUCCUGACUUUCAGCUCAUGUGCUUCUGGUAAUGAAUGGUGGCGCUUGGAUGUGGCUCCCAGCUUUCUGAAAGGAUACUCCAAAAAGAAUGUUCUAACCUCCAAAGUUGGUUUCCAUAAGGAAUUUAAAGAUUGUCCUGGGAUGAUGGACCCCACAGAAGUUAUAACAAGAAGAGGACAAGAGUGACCAUUAAGUAUGAACUUCUUUAGGAGAAUAUAACAGGUUUGGAAGAUCAAGGAAUGAAGUGGACUGGCUCUGGAACUAUCCUAAAGAGAAAUGUCAUGCCACGAGAUCCCAGGGUGUAUUCCAUGUCCUCAAUGCCGGAUAGAACAAAAAGGCACCAACGGUCGUGUUACUGCUUGUGGUGGCUCCCCUUAAAAACUCCAGGUGCUGGGAGAAUCAAACAGUUUAAUAUAUGUAAAAUGCUUAGAAACAUGCUGCCUGCCUGGAGGGAUUUAAAGCUGUUCAUCUAAGCACUCUUUUGCUGUCACCAAUGGCAUCUUUGGCACAUAUAUGCAAGACACUGUGUACCACUUGUUGCCCAGGUUGGUCUCAAAUCUUGAUUCCUGCUCUCAAGGGAUCCUUCCACUUCAGCUUCCCAAAUCACGGGAAUUACAGGUGCCACCAACUGUGCCCAGUCACAUGAAUUCUUGAUACCUUUCUUACUUAUUUCUACAUUCCCUAACUUACCCAUAAAAUUAAACCCAUUGAUAUGGCUUGGUUCUGUGUCCCCAUUUAAAUCUCAUCUCAAACUGUAAUACCCACAUGUCAAGGGAGAGGCCUGGUGGGAGGUGAUUGGAUCAUGGGGGUGGUUACUGCUGUGUCGUUCUCAUGACAGUGAGUGAGUUGUCACAAGAUCUGGUGGUUUUAUAAGGGGCUCUUUCCCCCUUCACUCUCUCUCUCCGCAUGUAAGAAGUGCCUGCUUUCCCUUCCACCAUGAUUGUGGGUUCCCUGA
rnacentral:lncRNA from 1 species